rnacentral:rRNA from 1 species
UACGGAGGGUGCAAGCGUUAUCCGGAUUCACUGGGUUUAAAGGGUGCGUAGGCGGGCUUGUAAGUCAGUGGUGAAAGCCCGGAGCUUAACUCCGGAACUGCCAUUGAUACUGCAAGUCUUUGAGUACACUUGAGGUGGGCGGAAUACAUCAUGUAGUGGUGAAAUACUUAGAUAUGAUGUAGAACACCGAUUGCGAAGGCAGCUCACUAAAUUGUAACUGACGCUGAGGCACGAAAGCGUGGGGAUCAAACAGG